rnacentral:misc_RNA from 1 species
UAAAGUGCGAUAUGUAGUGCGAUUUGCAUGAAUCUGUGAGUCAUCUAAUCUUUGAACGCAACUUGCGCCUCUCUGAGGCAUGUCUGUUUGAGUGCCGCAUACCUCGUGCAGCAAUGCGAUUUGAUCAAUGUCUGUCCUGUCCGGUCCGUCUCUGGACCGACCGGACUGACCUGGUCUAAACGUAGCCAGAUAGUGGCCAGCGCUGCUAGUCGUCCGAGUGCUAAGCAUUCUUGGAUCUAGUAGCACUGAGCUAGCUACCACCAAUUAAUUAUUUUUUUGGCCUCAAAUCAGGCAAGACUACCCGCUGAACUUAA